UACGUAGGGGGCUAGCGUUGUCCGGAUUUAUUGGGCGUAAAGAGCGUGUAGGCGGCCAUGUAGGUCCGGUGUGAAAACUCGAGGCUUAACCUCGAGAUGUCAUCGGAAACCAUUUGGCUAGAGUCCGGAAGAGGAGAGUGGAAUUCCUGGUGUAGCGGUGAAAUGCGUAGAUAUCGGGAGGAACACCAGUGGCGAAGGCGGCUGCCUGGGCCAGUUCUGACGCUGAGGCGCGAAAGCGUGGGGAGCAAACAGGG
rnacentral:rRNA from 1 species